rnacentral:rRNA from 1 species
UACGUAGGUGGCAAGCGUUGUCCGGAAUUAUUGGGCGUAAAGCGCGCGCAGGCGGUCCUUUAAGUCUGAUGUGAAAGCCCACGGCUCAACCGUGGAGGGUCAUUGGAAACUGGGGGACUUGAGUACAGAAGAGGAAAGCGGAAUUCCACGUGUAGCGGUGAAAUGCGUAGAUAUGUGGAGGAACACCAGUGGCGAAGGCGGCUUCUGGUCUGUAACUUGACGCUGAGGCGCGAAAGCGUGGGGAGCAAACAGG